rnacentral:misc_RNA from 1 species
GAUGAAGAACGUAGUGAAAUGCGAUAAGUAAUGCGAAUUGCAGAAUUCCGUGAGUCAUCGAAUCUUUGAACGCACAUUGCGCCCUCUGGUAUUCCGGGGGGCAUGCCUGUUCGAGCGUCAUUGUCAACCCUCAAGCCCGGCUUGCUGUUGGGUCCCCGUCGUUGCUCCAGCGGCGGACCGAAAGACAAUGGCAGAGUCUGUGGGACCCUGGAUGCAGCGAGCUUCUAGCACGCGUCUGGGCGGUCUGCGGGCUCGGUCUCAACCAGUUGUCAGCCUCUGAUUGACCUCGGAUCAGGUAGGGAUACCCGCUGAACUUAAGCAUAUCAAUAAGCGGAGGA